rfam:Trichuris trichiura, WGS project CBXK01000000 data, contig: TTRE_343
CCUCCGAUAGCUCAGUUGGCAGAGCGGUGGACUGUAGCGGUAAUGACGUAGACAUCCAUAGGUCGCUGGUUCAAAUCCGGCUCGGAGGA